rnacentral:rRNA from 1 species
GCUAUUUAUGCGUAAAGUUCUAUAUGUAGACAAAUAAUGACCAUCUACAUAUAUUAGUAUUGACCAAAUUACGUGCCAGCAGUCGCGGUAAUACGUAAAAUACAAGUGUUAUUCAUCUUUAUUGGGUUUAAAGGGUACCUAGACGGGAAAUAAAGCCUAAAUUAAAAGGGACUGAUUACCUAGAGUUAUAUAAAGAAAAGUUGAAUCAUCAGAGUAGAGUCUGCAUUCGCUAAUACUGGUGUUACGGAUAACUGUGAAAACGAUUUUUUAUGUGGAAACUGACGUUGAGGGACGAAGCCUGGGGUAACGAUAAGGAUUAGAUACCCUAGUAGUCCCAGGAGAAAAUGAUGAGUGUCAUAGACUAAAAGAGGCCUUUAGCUUUUUAGCUAGAGAAGGGUUAAUAAACAGCCAUAAAACAUGGUAAUAGCAUAGUAGCCUCACUUAGUUUAUAAAUGAAAGUGUAAGCACUCCACCUCAUGAGUAAAGCGGCAACGCCGAAAUUGAAACCAUUAGACCGUGUCCGAAACCAGUAGUGAAGUAUGUUAUUUAAUUCGAUAAUCCGCGAAUAAUCUUACCACGUCUUGAAUAUAUUUUACAAGCGCUGCACGGCUGUCUUCAGUUAAUGUCGUGAGACUUUGGUUAAUUCCUUUAAUUAACGAAAACCCUUGCAUUAUUUAUAUACAUUAAUGCAUCUCCCCAUUAUAUCGGAGUGAGUAACAGGGACCAAGGCAAGUCAACAUGGCCUUAAUGACGUGGGCUA